rnacentral:RNase_P_RNA from 1 species
GGAGCCGGCCAGGCAAUCGCGCCGUGGUUUACCGCGGUGAGGAAAGUCCGGGCUUCGCAGGGCAGGGUGCCAGGUAACGCCUGGGGGGUGUGAGCCCACGGAAAGUGCAACAGAAAAUAUACCGCCUGCUUGCAGGUAAGGGUGAAAUGGUGCGGUAAGAGCGCACCGCGCAGGUGGCAACACACUGCGGCAAGGUAAACCCCACCCGAAGCAAGACCAAAUAGGAAGGCAUAAUCGUGGCCCGCGAUGCCUUCGGGUAGGUCGCACGAGGCCGCUGGUGACAGCGGUCCCAGAUGAAUGAUUGCUCAAGACAGAACCCGGCUUAUCGGCCGGCUCCGCCA